UGCUAUAUGCAAGUCGAGCGAACGGACGAGAAGCUUGCUUCUCUGAUGUUAGCGGCGGCGGUGAGUAACACGUGGAUAACCUACCUAUAAGACUGGGAUAACUUCGGGAAACCGGAGCUAAUACCGGAUAAUAUUUUGAACCGCAUGGUUCAAAAGUGAAAGACGGUCUUGCUGUCACUUAUAGAUGGAUCCGCGCUGCAUUAGCUAGUUGGUAAGGUAACGGCUUACCAAGGCAACGAUGCAUAGCCGACCUGAGAGGGUGAUCGGCCACACUGGAACUGAGACACGGUCCAGACUCCUACGGGAGGCAGCAGUAGGGAAUCUUCCGCAAUGGGCGAAAGCCUGACGGAGCAACGCCGCGUGAGUGAUGAAGGUCUUCGGAUCGUAAAACUCUGUUAUUAGGGAAGAACAUAUGUGUAAGUAACUGUGCACAUCUUGACGGUACCUAAUCAGAAAGCCACGGCUAACUACGUGCCAGCAGCCGCGGAUACGUAGGUGGGUUYUCCGGAAUUAUUGGGCGUAAAGCGCGCGUAGGCGGUUUUUUAAGUCUGAUGUGAAACCCGUCACGGGGGGGUUUGGAAACUGGAAAACUUGGUAAAAAGAAGUGGAUUCCAUGUGUAGCGGUGAAAUGCGCAGAGAUAUGGAGGAACACCAGUGGCGAAGGCGAUUUUGGUCUGUAACUGACGCUGAUGUGCGAAGCGUGGGAUCAAACAGAUUAGAUCCUGGUAGCACGCCUAAACGAUGAGUGCU
rnacentral:rRNA from 1 species